UACGAGGGGGGCAAGCGUUGUUCGGAAUUAUUGGGCGUAAAGGGCGCGUAGGCGGUGCGGUAAGUCACCUGUGAAAACUCUGGGCUCAACCUCGAGACGCCGAUGGAAACCAUCAGACUAGAGUCCGGAAGAGGAGAGUGGAAUUCCUGGUGUAGCGGUGAAAUGCGCAGAUAUCAGGAAGAACACCCGUGGCUAAGGCGGCUCUCUAGUACGGUACUGACGCUGAGACGCGAAAGCGUGGGGAGCGAACAGG
rnacentral:rRNA from 1 species